AUGUCCAUCACCGACCGACGUGUGAACCUCAGUUGGGAGGUGAUCAUUGUCUAUGGCCCGGCUGAUCACGGGCGGUCGGCGGCGUUUCUGGCUGAGCUCCGGGAUAAGGUUGAACGUUGCACGAGCCCAGUUGUGGUGGCGGGCGACUUCAAUCUUAUCAGACAGGAAGCAGACAAAAGCUCGCCCAACAUCAACCGGCGGCGUAUGCGCAUGUUCAACGAUUCCAUAGCAGAGAUGGCCCUACGGGAGAUAGCCCGGGUAGGGGCUAGGUUCACAUGGACCAAUAAACAGGUGGACCCUAUCCGGAGUGUGCUAGAUCGGGUCCUCGUGUCAGUCCAGUGGGAGGUUAUGUUCCCACUGUGUUCCCUACAGGCGGUGACUCGGAUUGGCUUCGACCAUGUUCCCCUGUUGUUUGCAUCAGGGGAAAGGUCUCCACCGAGAUCUAGGAGAUUCCACUUCAAACCUUCUUGGCUUCUGCAGCCGGGGUUCGUCAAGAUGGUGCAGGACCGGUGGGUGCAGGCAGCGCGUAGCCCUCCUAGGGUAUUCUACGCCACAGAUAUUUGGCAUCACUGCUCUAAAACCACUCACCAGCUUAUGAGGGGCUGGGGCACCAACCUUGGGGCUGCCCUGCGGUCCCGCAAAGGGGCUCUAUUGGACCAAAUUAAGGCCCUAGACGCGACUACUGAUUCAGUUGGUCUGUCGGACGAAGGCUGGUUGCAACGAUACUCCCUUGAAGCCUCCCUAAUGGAGAUCUUCAAGGGGGGGAGCUAUUUUGGCAACGCCGGGGGGCCAAAAGUGGCUCUUACAAGGCGAUUCUAA
rnacentral:rRNA from 1 species